GAUGAACGCUGGCGGCGUGCCUAAUACAUGCAAGUCGAGCGAACAGACGAGGAGCUUGCUCCUCUGACGUUAGCGGCGGACGGGUGAGUAACACGUGGAUAACCUACCUAUAAGACUGGGAUAACUUCGGGAAGCCGGAGCUAAUACCGGAUAAUAUAUUGAACCGCAUGGUUCAAUAGUGAAAGACGGUUUUGCUGUCACUUAUAGAUGGAUCCGCGCCGCAUUAGCUAGUUGGUAAGGUAACGGCUUACCAGGGCGACGAUGCGUAGCCGACCUGAGAGGGUGAUCGGCCACACUGGAACUGAGACACGGUCCAGACUCCUACGGGAGGCAGCAGUAGGGAAUCUUCCGCAAUGGGCGAAAGCCUGACGGAGCAACGCCGCGUGAGUGAUGAAGGUCUUCGGAUCGUAAAACUCUGUUAUUAGGGAAGAACAAAUGUGUAAGUAACUAUGCACGUCUUGACGGUACCUAAUCAGAAAGCCACGGCUAACUACGUG
rnacentral:rRNA from 1 species